rnacentral:tRNA from 2 species
CCGGAGGUCGCAUAGUGGCCAAUUGCACGAGGCUGUAAACCUCGCGGGAACUUCCCUACGUAGGUUCGACUCCUACCCUCCGGACCA